AUGUCUCUCUCACAGGAGGUUGGUGGCACCUUAAUUUGGGGAUUGGAAUGGUAUCAAAUACAACACAUGGUUUAUGAGCCGUUCUCCCCGCAGCAGCCUCCUGUGUUCUCUGGUUUUGGAACACCUUUAUUAUUUCUGCCUUGUACCCUGAGAAUGCCUUACGUUUUUAAGUGCACUCUCAAAAGUAGCUGUAUGUUGCACUGUACCCUUCUGUCUACUGAUAGUCUGUAUCCGUCUUUGUCUGUGUGGUGGUGCAGUUUGAUUGCGACACGGGGACAACAAAGAGAUCAGAGGAGCCAUCUUGUGCAAUUGGUGCUCUCUGAGCCACCUUUGUUCCCCCUGUGCUUCCAUCAUGAGCAGGUCUAGUUUGGUCUGUGGGUAGAGGGUCACCCACAUGCUACCUUAAUGACGCUGCACCAGAGAAGAGCUCAGCCUCUCAGCCCAACUACACAGCAGACGUGCUUCAGGCCAGGUCCCUGAAUAGAAGGGGACAGAAAGAAAGAUAAAUAAUUUCCUAGCAUGAAACAAUGUUGCUGGUGUAAUGCAGAGGCUGGCGGCAACUUCCACGUGAUUCCGUAAUGAUUCUGAGUCGGAUCCAGUUGGCAUGGUAACACGGCUGAGUGGCACAGUGGAGGGGUGUGAGGAUGUCGAGUGGGUUACGCACACGCUCAGUGUGUCCCUGUCGACAGCAGGGCCAGGCAUGCUCCUUUGACAUCUGCUGAGACUUAACUCCAUUUAAAAAAUAAAUAAAAAUUGUUCACUACUACUUCUCUCACUCCUUCCUCAAGGUGAUAGACUUACAAUGAGUGCAUCACGGUGGGGCAGAGUGUCAAGGAGGAUGGAGAGGGACACAAUGACUCAUUUGCUUUUCUUCAAAGCCAUCAUGUCUAACUACUUCCUGGUCUGUUACUAUGUUUAGUCCUUGAGAGCUUUAAGUAGUAGCCAAUGGGCACCAUUUGUACCCUUGACCUAAUCAGGUCCUUAUUUCCUUGAUGUCAUAACUGAUCCCAAGUCAGUUGGCUGAGUGUACGUUGUAGAAUGAGCGGAACGUCACCCAGUCAAAACGAUCUCAAAGACUAGAAUAAAAAUGCCUAUUUCUGUAACUUAAUUUGGCAUUUCUUCUUCCCCAGCUAAAGCUUUACAUGUUUUUCUAUGCAGCACAGUUGUGCCCUAGUCAUGGAAGAUAAGUCACAGUGGUACAUUUAGUCAUGGGCAAUGAGCUGGUUGCCUCCAUGAACCCUUCUCGUUAUGGGCACAUGUAAAGCCAGAUGUAAGUGUACUUGAUAUCUGAAACACUUGUUUUGCUGCCACCAAGUAUUUGUCUUCCCAUUCCUAAAUGAUUGGAAGCCAUGCCCCAUAAUGGUCAUCACAAGCACUCACCUUAUACGUUUUUGUCAAGCCCUUUGAAGUGCUUUCUGCAGCAACCCUACAACGCAUGCGUACAACAUCACCCUGAUCUGAAUCUGCCUCGGGACCUGUUAAACGUCACCCCAAAUCAACUCUGCUGUUUGGAAUGCACGGCUGCUUCCAAUCCCACCCAGAUAAGAACCAAAUACUUUUUAUACAUUUGAUCUCUUCAAUGAUGAACAAACAAACAAACUAUUUGAGGUUUGUCGGGAUGAGGAAGAGAUUAAUUUAAUCAAUUCCUGUUUGACAGUCAGAGUCCUUGACUUAAAGGAUUUAGAAUGUUCAGGGGGAAGGAAUAUUUAGUUUUUAAUGUUAACGAGAUCUUAACAGAAGCCCUAACAUGUUUGUCUCUGAGAAAUUCUCACCCAAAACCCCCGAAAUAGGAGUGACUUAAAGUUAUUGAGAAGGGUUGAGACUUGUUAGUCAUGCAUUAUUAUUUUUUCGGUUGUCUAGCUUUGCUUGGUUUACCAUAUUAUGGUAUGUGGAUUAAACAAAUGUCAAAUAAAUAACUUGCCCUUAAAAUGACUGCAUGGGAUAGUAUCACGUAGCAGUAUUCACCGUAAAGCACUCUUGCUGUUCUUGUGUAUUACAGAAGUGCCUGCUUUUGUGACUUCCUUUCCCGCAGUCCUGAACAUAACAUUUUGGUAUGUAGAUUAGUGUGGUUCUGGAGCUUGGUCCCACUGCCCGGCUGUGUUGCUGAAAGUGGAAGGUCUGCCUUGGGUUCACAGGUGAUUCCCACUCCUUGCUGCAUCUGGCUGCCAGUGGGGCUUCCUCCGCCCCUCUACAGGGUUCAACACAGGGAUGCAUUAUGCUCUCCCAGGCUAUCAGAUGUUAGCAUGCCAGCCUCACUUAGUAUUCACUGUCCCAGACUCACACAGACAACCUGUUCUGACUGGGAAGGGCAAACCUGUUUGUCUGUCUCACUACAGAAGCAUCCUGUGUAUUCAAAAAGCAGGCCAAGCUAUGCUUCCAGUGUUGUCUCAGCUCUGACGUUUUGAAUUUCAAGUGUUCAGAUUUGCUUUGCUGCCGUCUCAAUGCACUCUGGUGUGCCCCCUUGUCCUUGUGAGCAGUCUUAAGUAGAUCUGCCGCUGUGCUGCUCGUCUUUUCACGAAUUUAGAACAAAUCUCAGUUUUUAAGCUCAUUUAACUUUUUUCCCUCUGUUUUUUUAAAACUGGAAAUGUUGAAACAGUAGUUUAAUUCAUGAAAUUACAUUGUAAGCAGCGGCAUGUGUUUGCUGCUCAUUACGAUCUGUUUAAUGUCCCUCAUUAUCUCAAAUGGCACCACAUUCCCUUUUAUAGUGCACAAAAUUUGACCAGAGCCUAAUGAGCCCUUGUCAAAAGUAGUGCACUAUAUAGGGAAUAGGGUGCUAUUUUGGAACGCAGUUGUCCCCCCCCCCCCCUUUUCACAGAUGUUGGGGCCUAGAGUGUUCCCGACCUGUGACUGCCAAGGAAAAAUUGGGCUAUCACUACCCCAGUUUUUUUUUAAUGUAUUCUUCUGGUCAGGUCACUUGGUAAUUAGAAAGUCCUGGCCACUUAUCUUAUGGACAGUGAGGACUGGGUUCAGGGCCAUAAUCUUCUGCUUUGUUGUCGUCUGAUAUCACUGCUGUGAACUUAAACGCCAUAACAUGAGUCUGUUUUGAAUACACUAAUCAAUAUGGCAGAUGUACUGUAUGACGACUGUUCUGUUUCUUUCACCUCGCUAGCAUCACAUUGACUGUACAUUGUACUGUAUAACUUAUUUUCCUCACCUAUGACAGGAAAUUAAAACGGAGAGACUGCUCAGAGGAUCGGUUGUGUUUCCUCAUGUAUUUGUGUUUAUCUUCCUGCCACUUCUGUUUUAAUUCCAUCUUUGCUAUACUGUUAUUUAAUGUGCAAUACGUUAACGAUUGAGAGCAUACUGUUGUACACAAUACUCAUUAUUUAUGUCUAUCCAAUAUCUAUGUCUGUGUAAUUGUCAAAAAAGAAACAUCUCAAUCUGAAAUGCACUUUAAAUGGUUGUGUUGAGACUGAAUAUGAAUGAAUGAACUUAGGUGUUGAACUACUUUUUGUUUUGAUUCUGCUCCCCACCCUUUUUGCUGUGAUCUCUCUGAGGCUACGGAGUGGCUGAGCGCUCAAAUAAAGACUGCACUCAAUCUACUGUGUGUGUGUGUGUGUGUGCACAGUGACAAUGUGGUGGGGAAAUGAAGUGGUUAGGUCUCUGGGUUUGGCAUGAGAGGGUAGGAACCAAGGAGAGAUGAAGUCAGUGGUGGAGAUAAGGGGACGAGAAGAGAGACGAGUGGUUUGUACAGGAAGAGAAGUGAUGGA
rnacentral:lncRNA from 1 species